rnacentral:lncRNA from 1 species
GGUGCUUUGACAAAGUGUAGCGAGACCCGGUAAUUUGGUCUGAAAAUGUGUUUCAGUGGAACGCAGAGCCCGGUGAGGCUGUGACGUGGGGUGCCACUCAUUAGAGCUGCCAGCGUAGUCCUCUGGCUGCUGUGAGCACAUGGCGCGUCCUAGGAGCCGGGCACAGGGAAAGUUGUGGAAUAAAAAGACAGCAUUGCUGGAGAGUUGGUGUUGUCCACAAGGAGGAUUAGUGGAACACCUUUAUAAUGCUGGUGUUGACAGACAAGACUAGCGUCUGUUUUAUAGGCUAUCGCCUGAGUUCCAUCAGACUUCUCCUGGGUAGCGAUAGGUUUCGGCUGACACGAUUUGACCUGUGAUUUAUCCAAAUCAGUGUAAUAAUAAGCUAGGUUGUAAGGGCAUUGACUUGGCCAUGUAUGCUCAACUACAGUAAACCUGUUAUAAAACCAAGCAAAUGAGGGCUUCUGUUUCUCUUGCUGGUGCACGGUGAGGGUAGGAGAGUAAUGAACUUGUCCCUCUCCAAGGCAUAACCAUCCAGAAGGUUUGUAAAAGGUCUUUAUUCCUUGUGGGGAAAUGAUUUGAGUCUUAGGAAGGAAACACAUGGCUUUCUUCUUACAGCUUCAGACUCCAUCUUGCCAGCUGCAUUUAUUUCCCUUGGCAUGGCACUAAUGAAAGGAGACUUUGAUGAGCUGUGUGUAUGGUC